GUGCUCACUUUGGCAGCACAAAUACUAAAAUUGGAAUGAUACAGAGAAGAUUAGCAUGGCCCCUAGGCAAGGAUGAAAUGAAAAUUUGUGAAGGGUUUCAUAGAAAA